rnacentral:rRNA from 1 species
AGUUUGAUCCUGGCUCAGGACGAACGCUGGCGGCAUGCCUAACACAUGCAAGUCGAACGGAGAUUAUUUCGGUAAUCUUAGUGGCGAACGGGUGAGUAACGCGUGGGCAACCUGCCCUCUAGAUGGGGACAACAUCCCGGAAGGGGUGGCUAUACCGGAAUUGCACACAUUUCCCGAAGAGGACCUUGAAAAGGGCCCUUUAUAUUAUAACCUUCCGUAGGAGAUGGCCUUGUUUUUUUUAGUAGGUGUGGGGGUAACCGGCACCACAAGGGAUAAACCCGUGCUGGUUUGGAAGGAAAACCGCCCACAUGGGGGAUGGGCCCCGGCCCCAAUUCUCUAGGGGGAGCACCAGUGGGAAUUCUCCCCAAGGGGAGAAACCUGGGCGGACCAAUCCCGGGUGAGUAAGAAGGAAUUCGUUCCGAAAAGUCUUUUUGUUUAUGACGAAUGGCCAGAUUGUGAAUAAUGAUUUGUAAUGCCGGUAGUAAACGAAUAAGCCACGGCUAACUACGUGCCAGCAGCCGCGGUAAUACGUAGGUGGCGAGCGUUGUCCGGAAUUAUUGGGCGUAAAGAGCAUGUAGGCGGUUUUUUAAGUCUGGAGUGAAAAUGCGGGGCUCAACCCCGGUAUGGCUCUGGAUACUGGAAGACUUGAGUGCAGGAGAGGAAAGGGGAAUUCCCAGUGUAGCGGUGAAAUGCGUAGAUAUUGGGAGGAACACCAGUGGCGAAGGCGCCUUUCUGGACUGUGUCUGACGCUGAGAUGCGAAAGCCAGGGUAGCGAACGGGAUUAGAUACCCCGGUAGUCCUGGCCGUAAACGAUGGGUACUAGGUGUAGGAGGUAUCGACCCCUUCUGUGCCGGAGUUAACGCAAUAAGUACCCCGCCUGGGGAGUACGUCCGCAAGGAUGAAACUCAAAGGAAUUGACGGGGGCCCGCACAAGCGGUGGAGUAUGUGGUUUAAUUCGACGCAACGCGAAGAACCUUACCAAGGCUUGACAUUGAAUGACCGCUUCAGAGAUGAAGCUUUCCCUUCGGGGACAUGAAAACAGGUGGUGCAUGGCUGUCGUCAGCUCGUGUCGUGAGAUGUUGGGUUAAGUCCCGCAACGAGCGCAACCCCUAUCCUAUGUUACCAGCGGGUAAUGCCGGGGACUCAUAGGAGACUGCCAAGGACAACUUGGAGGAAGGCGGGGAUGACGUCAAGUCAUCAUGCCCCUUAUGUCUUGGGCUACACACGUACUACAAUGGUCGGCAACAGAGGGAAGCGAAGCCGUGAGGCAGAGCAAACCCCAGAAACCCGAUCUCAGUUCGGAUUGCAGGCUGCAACUCGCCUGCAUGAAGUCGGAAUCGCUAGUAAUCGCAGGUCAGCAUACUGCGGUGAAUACGUUCCCGGGCCUUGCACACACCGCCCGUC